GACAGAGGAUGCAAGCGUUAUCCGGAAUGAUUGGGCGUAAAGCGUCUGUAGGUGGCUUUUUAAGUCCGCCGUCAAAUCCCAGGGCUCAACCCUGGACAGGCGGUGGAAACUACCAAGCUGGAGUACGGUAGGGGCAGAGGGAAUUUCCGGUGGAGCGGUGAAAUGCGUAGAGAUCGGAAAGAACACCAACGGCGAAGGCAGCUUGCUGGGCUACUCCUGACACUGAGGUACGAAAGCGUGGGGAGCGAACAGG
rnacentral:rRNA from 1 species